GCCAAAAGUGAGGGCAAACCGACGAGCCAGUUCCUUAAUUCCACUGACAUGGGCAGAUGUCCUGUCCAGAUUAGGACCUUGCUCCUGAACAAGUUCAUUGAAUAGCUGUUGCAAACUGAGAAUGAGUGUCUUUGCACACUGGAUUUUAUCAAUUUGCCUUGUUUUGCUCAGGGUUUCCUUAAUGAUAUCUCCGUAGUCAUUGUAGUACUUCAUAUAGUGUUUGAAGAUAUCAGCUGCUGCAUGCAUGUCCACGAUGUCAUAAAUUAUCAGCUUGCUAAAGGCAGCCAGAAGGUUUCUUCUCUUAUGUAAAGCUUCUAUUUUGUUAGCUUCAUCUUCUU
rnacentral:lncRNA from 1 species